CCCAGUUGUAUUAACUAUUAAUGAUAAAGACACUUUGCAAUUUAAAUUAAAACUAUAUCAUUUUUGAAAGAAUAUAAAUUAUUUUAGAUUAUAAAGAACAUUUAUUAUGGCUUAAAAAUAACAUAGGUCUAUGGGCAAUAAAUUGUUAAAAAAGGGUAUGAUACAUAUUUCAGGUUCCAUACCAAAAUACUUUAGAACAUUGAUUAUAGAAUAGACAGAUAGCCCAUGAAAUAUUAAUAUUUGGCGACUAUAAAAAGGAUGCCACCGCUAUGAAGUGCUAGUGUAGUUUAGGAUGCGAGCAGGUGGUACCCCCAUCAUAGAAUGAUUUAUGGUACGGGAGGUAACUUAUCGCGCGUUAUUACAGUACUAAUAAUAGAAUAUUUGUUUAAAUAAAUUGGAAUACAAUUGUUUAUUAUCAUUGUAUUUCGUAUUAUUUUUGUAAUUCGUUGAGUCUCACAACUCAUAGGCGAUGCUGGUUUUUGAUUGCGAUUACACGUCUAUACAACAUAUUAAUAUAAUAUU